CCUACGGGAGGCAGCAGUAGGGAAUAUUGGACAAUGGGCGCAAGCCUGAUGCAGCAACGCCGCGUGCGCGAUGAAGGCCUUCGGGUUGUAAAGCGCUUUUCGGGGAGAAGAGGAAGGACGGUAUCCCCGGAAUAAGGCUCGGCUAACUACGUGCCAGCAGCCGCGGUAA
rnacentral:rRNA from 1 species